UGGUCCUCCAAUGAUAUAGUGCCA
rnacentral:siRNA from 1 species